AUGAUGACAAUGGCGGAGAAAGUGCCGGAGAUGGUGGUCCAGACACUUGUGGACAAAGCCGUGAAUAGAGCCGUCUCCUUCGUGUUCGGACUCCGCGGGGAGAAGCACUCUCAGGAGGACCUCAUGAAGAGGCUGGUGACCGCGCAUGACGACCUGGAGCUGAAAUUUGAGAGGACGAACAGGCUGCCCAUCACUGAGACGGCAUUGCUCCGUCGAAGGAUGGAGAUCAAACAAGCCUUCCGAGAGUGCCAUGACUUGCUCUCCAACCUGGAGCUGCAGCAAGACGAAGGGGCGCCCUCUCCCCCCAAAAAGGCCAAGUCUCUCUUUGCCUUGGGCACAAACAAGAACCUGCUGAGAUCCUCGGACGUCGCAAAGUUCGAGCGGUCCGUGGAGAAGGCCGACAGGCUCCUGCGCGACUUGAAGGACGGCUUUACACUUGCCCAGUAUAGGUUUUAUCUCAGCCCUCUCGUCACAAAGCUUCUUCAAGGGAGGGCGCUCUGGUAUAAGGAGGAGCAAGGAUCCCAGGGCCGCUGCCUCAUGGUGCACACGUGCCCUUCCGAAGAGCAUGGUAUGCUGGCAAUGCUAGGCUUCAAACACGAAGAUCUCAAGAGGCCAAUGGCAUAUGUUUACUUCACGGUAACACUGCGGCUAACUGAGGGCACGGACAUUAUUGGGAUGACCGCUGAGUGCCUCAAGUCACUUCAAUCACUUCCCCGGUUCACGCCCUUGGUCGAUCUAGCGGUCGGGGAAAUCGCUGAGAUAUCUUCACAAGUCCUAGUUUCACCAUGGCCGUGGCAAUAUACGAAGGUUGAUCUCGCCAAGUUGGGCAGAAUAUCCCGUCAAGACCCAUUCUGCUGCAAAGAAGAUGGGAUCUAUUCUUGUGAGAACAAGGCCGUUCCAUCUGAAUUAACACGUAGAUUUCCAGAAUCAGUCAUCGCCAUGGGUUUUAACUGCCAUAUUUCAGCUCCUCGGAGCAGCUCAACUAGAACUAGAGUGCACAGAAACACCCACCCAUAUCUAAUGUAG
rnacentral:rRNA from 1 species